AGAGUUUGAUCCUGGCUCAGGAUGAACGCUGGCGGCGUGCCUAAUACAUGCAAGUCGAACGCUUUGUCUUUAAUUGAUAUGAAGAGCUUGCUCUGAUUUGAUUUUAUCUGACAAAGAGUGGCGAACGGGUGAGUAACACGUGGGUAACCUACCUCUUAGCAGGGGAUAACAUUUGGAAACAAGUGCUAAUACCGUAUAACACUAACAACCGCAUGGUUGUUAGUUGAAAGAUGGUUCUGCUAUCACUAAGAGAUGGACCCGCGGUGCAUUAGCUAGUUGGUAAGGUAAUGGCUUACCAAGGCGAUGAUGCGUAGCCGAGUUGAGAGACUGAUCGGCCACAAUGGGACUGAGACACGGCCCAUACUCCUACGGGAGGCAGCAGUAGGGAAUCUUCCACAAUGGGCGCAAGCCUGAUGGAGCAACGCCGCGUGUGUGAUGAAGGGUUUCGGCUCGUAAAACACUGUUAUAAGAGAAGAACGACAUUGAGAGUAACUGUUCAGUGUGUGACGGUAUCUUAUCAGAAAGGAACGGCUAAAUACGUGCCAGCAGCCGCGGUAAUACGUAUGUUCCAAGCGUUAUCCGGAUUUAUUGGGCGUAAAGCGAGCGCAGACGGUUAUUUAAGUCUGAAGUGAAAGCCCUCAGCUCAACUGAGGAAGGGCUUUGGAAACUGGAUAACUUGAGUGCAGUAGAGGAAAGUGGAACUCCAUGUGUAGCGGUGAAAUGCGUAGAUAUAUGGAAGAACACCAGUGGCGAAGGCGGCUUUCUGGACUGUAACUGACGUUGAGGCUCGAAAGUGUGGGUAGCAAACAGGAUUAGAUACCCUGGUAGUCCACACCGUAAACGAUGAGUGCUAAGUGUUGGAGGGUUUCCGCCCUUCAGUGCUGCAGCUAACGCAUUAAGCACUCCGCCUGGGGAGUACGACCGCAAGGUUGAAACUCAAAGGAAUUGACGGGGACCCGCACAAGCGGUGGAGCAUGUGGUUUAAUUCGAAGCAACGCGAAGAACCUUACCAGGUCUUGACAUCCCGAUGCUAUUUCUAGAGAUAGAAAGUUACUUCGGUACAUCGGUGACAGGUGGUGCAUGGUUGUCGUCAGCUCGUGUCGUGAGAU
rnacentral:rRNA from 1 species